AACGAACGCUGGCGGCAGGCCUAACACAUGCAAGUCGAGCGCCCCGCAAGGGGAGCGGCGGACGGGUUAGUAACGCGUGGGAAUGUACCCUUUGGUACGGAAUAGCCUCGGGAAACUGAGAGUAAUACCGUAUGUGCCCUUCGGGGAAAGAUUUAUCGCCAAAGGAUUAGCCCGCGUUGGAUUAGAUAGUUGGUGGGGUAAUGGCCUACCAAGUCUACGAUCCAUAGCUGGUUUGAGAGGAUGAUCAGCAACACUGGGACUGAGACACGGCCCAGACUCCUACGGGAGGCAGCAGUGGGGAAUCUUAGACAAUGGGCGCAAGCCUGAUCUAGCCAUGCCGCGUGGACGAUGAAGGCCUUAGGGUUGUAAAGUCCUUUCAGAUGGGAAGAUAAUGACGGUACCAUCAGAAGAAGCCCCGGCUAACUCCGUGCCAGCAGCCGCGGU
rnacentral:rRNA from 1 species